rnacentral:tRNA from 1 species
GGGAAGGUGGCUCAGUGGUAGAGUGCUUGCCUUGCAUACAUGAGGUCCUGGGUUCGAUUCCUCAGCACCCCA